GAGGCGAUUGAACAGGGAAGAGCACAAAAUGUAAAUCUCAGCGCAAGCUGCGAAUUGUAGUCUCCAGACGCGAUACCAUCUUUCCUGCAGGGAUAAUUUCUCUUGAACGAGAGACCAUAGAGGGUGAGAGUCCCGUCUUUGCUCUGCAACGGAAAGUAUACGGUUCGUGUUCAAAGAGUCGCGUUCUUUGGGAAUAGAGCGCUAAGUGGGUGGUAAAUGUCAUCUAAUGCUAAAUAUUGGUGGGAGACCGAUAGCGAACAAGUACCGUGAGGGAAAGAUGAAAAGAACUUUGAAAAGAGGGUUAAAAGUGCCUGAAAUUGCUGGUAGGGAAGCGGAUUGUAUUGUCCUAGUUAAGGGGUAUGGCGCAUGAGAAGGAUGAAAUUUGGAGUUCACCGCAAGGGAAUCUCUGAACGUAGGCUCAUUGUGUGUCCGUUUGCCCCUUAGCUUAGUCUGCGUCGGUUGUGACUGUGUAAAAACCCUUUGUUGAUGCGUUUCGGCGUAUUAACAGAGACGGACGACACGGAUGCUGCCGAAGUUGUGAAU
rnacentral:rRNA from 1 species